rnacentral:rRNA from 1 species
CCUACGGGAGUCUGCAGUGAGGAAUAUUGGUCAAUGGACGAGAGUCUGAACCAGCCAAGUAGCGUGAAGGCUGACUGCCCUAUGGGUUGUAAACUUCUUUUAUAUGGGAAUAAAACGUUCCACGUGUGGGAUUUUGUAUGUACCAUAUGAAUAAGGAUCGGCUAACUCCGUGCCAGCAGCCGCGGUAAUACGGAGGAUCCGAGCGUUAUCCGGAUUUAUUGGGUUUAAAGGGAGCGUAGGUGGAUUGUUAAGUAAGUUGUGAAAGUUUGCGGCUCAACCGUAAAAUUGCAGUUGAAACUGGCAGUCUUGAGUACAGUAGAGGUGGGCGGAAUUCGUGGUGUAGCGGUGAAAUGCUUAGAUAUCACGAAGAACUCCGAUUGCGAAGGCAGUUCACUGGACUGCAACUGACACUGAGGCUCGAAAGUGUGGGUAUCAAACAGGAUUAGAUACCCGUGUAGUC